rnacentral:rRNA from 1 species
CAGUAGCCGCGGGAAUACGUAGGUGGCAAGCGUUGUCCGGAAUUAUUGGGCGUAAAGGGCUCGCAGGCGGCUUCUUAAGUCUGAUGUGAAAGCCCCCGGCUCAACCGGGGAGGGUCAUUGGAAACUGGGAAACUUGAGUGCAGAAGAGGAGAGUGGAAUUCCACGUGUAGCGGUGAAAUGCGUAGAGAUGUGGAGGAACACCAGUGGCGAAGGCGACUCUCUGGUCUGUAACUGACGCUGAGGAGCGAAAGCGUGGGGAGCGAACAGGAUUAGAUACCCCGUAGCCCUGUCUCUUAUACAC